UACCAGACUCCUACGGGAGGCAGCAGUGGGGGAUAUUGCACAAUGGGGGAAACCCUGAUGCAGCGACGCCGCGUGUGGGAAGACGGUCCUCUGGAUUGUAAACCACUGUCCCCAGGGACGAAGAUGACGGUACCUGGGGAGGAAGCUCCGGCUAACUACGUGCCAGCAGCCGCGGUAAUACGUAGGGAGCGAGCGUUGUCCGGAAUUACUGGGUGUAAAGGGAGCGUAGGCGGGGAUGCAAGUUGGAUGUGAAAACUGCGGGCUCAACCCGGAGCGUGCAUUCAAAACUGCGAUUCUUGAGUGAAGUAGAGGCAAGCGGAAUUCCUAGUGUAGCGGUGAAAUGCGUAGAUAUUAGGAGGAACACCAGUGGCGAAGGCGGCUUGCUGGGCUUUUACUGACGCUGAGGCUCGAAAGUGUGGGGAGCAAACAGGAUUAGAUACCCCCGUA
rnacentral:rRNA from 1 species